rnacentral:rRNA from 1 species
UGGGAAUUUUGGGCAAUGGGCGAAAGCCUGACCCAGCAACGCCGCGUGAGGGAUGAAGUAUUUCGGUAUGUAAACCUCGAAAGAAUGGGAAGAAUAAAUGACGGUACCAUUUAUAAGCUCCGGCUAACUACGUGCCAGCAGCCGCGGUAAUACGUAGGGAGCAAGCGUUGUUCGGAUUUACUGGGCGUAAAGGGCGCGUAGGCGGCGCGGUAAGUCACUUGUGAAAUCUCUGAGCUUAACUCAGAACGGCCAAGUGAUACUGCUGUGCUAGAGUGCGGAAGAGGCAACCGGAAUUCUUGGUGUAGCGGUGAAAUGCGUAGAUAUCAAGAGGAACACCUGAGGCGAAGGCGGGUUGCUGGGCCGACACUGACGCUGAUGCGCGAAAGCCAGGGGAGCAAACG